GACGAACCGUGCUAACGUUAUUCGGAAUUACUGGGCUUAAAGCGCGUGUAGGCGGAUCGGUGCGUCGGCGCCUGAAAUCCCCCGGCUCAACCGGGGAACGCGGCCCGAAACGACCGGUCUGGAGGGACGUAGGGGGGACUGGAACUUCCGGUGGAGCGGUGAAAUGCGUUGAGAUCGGAAGGAACGCCCGUGGCGAAAGCGAGUCCCUGGACGUCUGCUGACGCUGAGACGCGAAAGCCAGGGGAGCGAACGGG
rnacentral:rRNA from 1 species